AAGUAAUGAUGGAGCAAAGAAAUACCGUGAGUCAACUCUGUUUUAAUGUAGAAAACAAAAAAGGAGGAAGAAUAAAUCAGUCAGAGCCUGCAUUCCAUUGAUAUUUCUAAGCUGUACUGAGGACUACUUUGCUCAAGAUUGUGCCCAGCAGACAAAGACCCAAGUUAAGGGCAGAGCAAAGACAAACUGGCCAAAGGGAACUCCAGGAGGUACUGUGCCUCACUGCUUCUGUUUUACAGACUCAGGGGCAACCCUUUAUUCAAGCUAUUCAAAAAGCAUUAACUCAGAGUCUCACCACUUCGUUUGAAAACUGUGACAUCUUCUUAGAAGUGCAAAUUCACAAAAAAAAAUCUUCCUUUUGGUGUAAGUUGAACAGUGAUUUCAUUGAGUAACUGCCAAUUUUUCUACUACACAUUGUUAAAAGUAACAAAGAAGUAUGAGGAGGAAAGGAGAAAAGAAAAGAGUUCAUUGAGCUCAGCAAAUUGUACAAAGCUGGGUCUAGAGAGUAGUUCAUUUAGCCCUUGCAAAAACAUUGGAUUGCCUCCAAAGCGGAGACUCUACAGACUUUCUUCAUAGCAGAGUGUCAAUACAUCCAGGGAGGUUUGCCUUCCCUGGGAAGAAAUGGGCAUUUGUCUACCCAUUCUGCAGCCGAUGAAGAACUACUGUUCAGGCUUGUGACUGAGCUGGCAUGGGUUAUAUGCAUGGGCUGCCCAGGACCACCAUAACUAGAAUGGAUCCAUGAAAGGGAUCAACAGCGUGUGUCUAUUCACCAGCACCCUCUCACCCCACCCGCAGCUUUAAGAAAUGACAGGUUUUUCUAUUGGGAUUGCUGUGGGGCUGCCAAGAUAUGAAGAUCCUGUGUGUCUGUUUUUCCAUGGAUUGAGAAGAGAUUAUUCUCCUCGACAGAAUGUAA